CAGUCGCCACGGUAAUACGAAGGGGGCUAGCGUUGUUCGGAUUUACUGGGCGUAAAGCGCACGUAGGCGGAUCGAUCAGUCAGGGGUGAAAUCCCAGAGCUCAACUCUGGAACUGCCUUUGAUACUGUCGAUCUGGAGUAUGGAAGAGGUGAGUGGAAUUCCGAGUGUAGAGGUGAAAUUCGUAGAUAUUCGGAGGAACACCAGUGGCGAAGGCGGCUCACUGGUCCAUUACUGACGCUGAGGUGCGAAAGCGUGGGGAGCAAACAGGAUUAGAUACCCCUGUAGUCCCUGUCUCUUAUAC
rnacentral:rRNA from 1 species